AUUGAACGCUGGCGGAAUGCUUUACACAUGCAAGUCGAACGGUAGAGGGGGCAACCCCUUGAGAGUGGCGAACGGGUGAGUAAUAUAUCGGAACGUGCCCAGUCGUGGGGGAUAACGUAGCGAAAGUUACGCUAAUACCGCAUACGAUCUACGGAUGAAAGCGGGGGACUCGCAAGAGCCUCGCGCGAACGGAGCGGCCGAUGGCAGAUUAGGUAGUUGGUGGGAUAAAAGCUUACCAAGCCGACGAUCUGUAGCUGGUCUGAGAGGACGACCAGCCACACUGGGACUGAGACACGGCCCAGACUCCUACGGGAGGCAGCAGUGGGGAAUUUUGGACAAUGGGCGAAAGCCUGAUCCAGCCAUGCCGCGUGCAGGAUGAAGGCCUUCGGGUUGUAAACUGCUUUUGUACGGAACGAAAGGUUUCCAUUAAUACUGGGAGCUCAUGACGGUACCGUAAGAAUAAGCACCGGCUAACUACGUGCCAGCAGCCG
rnacentral:rRNA from 1 species